rnacentral:lncRNA from 1 species
GUGCCUGCCAGGUGAUGAGUUGAGCGAACUGAUAAAUUAACUUGAUUGCCCAAACAACAUUUUCGACAAAGCGGAAAUCCUCGCAGAAAUAAAGUGCUUCGCUGAAAUCACCCUCGCCAGGGAGUGUUCCUUGGAAGCCAGAAGAAAUCAAAACCAAAUCCAGAUAUCUCCUGGAUUCUCAGGUUGAGGUCAAAACCAAAUGUUAUCACCCACUUCAAAGUGUUUUGAAAUUUGGAAUCCACCAGAUGGAGUGCGACCCUCAUUCUGACAUCGCCGCUGGAAAAAAAUGGUCUGUCUCAGCAGGCCGUUGUAGCGGAUGACAGAGCUGCGGAAGUUCACAGUCUGAGUAGUAGGGCAACCGUUACUGAGUUCCAGGCGGUCCUGCGGUUUACACCCCUGCUGCUCAGCUGGUUCUCCGACACAGAGGCGAUAGUGGAGCAGUUAGCCUGCCUCAGGAUGCUGGUGGCCCUGUCCUCUCACAGAGAGACACAUCCAGACAUCAUCCGCAGCCUGCCUUCUUACUGCAGCCUGCUCCAAACACAACCCCUGGGCUCCAGGCAAUUGCGGCUUGUGACGAAGCUCCUCUUCAAGCUGUCUGAGAACAGCACACUGCUGGAGAUCCUCCUCAACUGCAGGGCGGACCGGUGGUUGAUGUCCAUGUUGCGCCCUUCAAGCCCUAGAGAAACUCUGCUGCACUGCCUGGGUCUGCUGUCCAACCUCAGCCACCAUGAGCCACCAGGGGACGCCACAGGUCCGCAGUAUAAUGAGGCCUCCAUGUAUGCCCUGCUCUACUCCAGGCCUACCCCGCUGCCCCAGGCUCUCCGGCCGCUCGCCCAACACAGUGACCCCAGGGUGAGUGCCUCUGCUGGGCAUAUGCUCUCCAGGCUUACCUUGCCCAGACCUCCCCCACAAAGGAGUUGGGCCAGCUCCCCCGCUUGGCAGCCACGCAGUGUGCUGCACACCUCCCCCCUCGCCCCACGUAGGCUGUGGCCUGACUCCCCCAUCCUCCCCAGUAGACUGAGGCCUGACUCCCCCAUCCUCCCCAGUAGACUGAGGCCUGACUCCCAACUGUAG